rnacentral:rRNA from 1 species
GUCCACGCCCUAAACCAUGUCAACUGGGUGUUGGGGAAGCGAUUUCUCAGUACCGCAGCUAACGCGUGAAGUUGACCGCCUGGGGAGUACGGCCGCAAGGUUAAAACUCAAAGGAAUUGACGGGGACCCGCACAAGCGGUGGAUGAUGUGGAUUAAUUCGAUGCAACGCGAACAACCUUACCUACCCUUGACAUGUCGCGAAGCCCGCUGAGAGGCGGGGGUGCCCGAAAGGGAACGCGAACACAGGUGCUGCAUGGCUGUCGU